AUUGAACGCUGGCGGCAGGCCUAACACAUGCCAGUCGAGCGGAUGAAGGGAGCUUGCUCCUGGAUUCAGCGGCGGACGGGUGAGUAAUGCCUAGGAAUCUGCCUGGUAGUGGGGGAUAACGUCCGGAAACGGGCGCUAAUACCGCAUACGUCCUGAGGGAGAAAGUGGGGGAUCUUCGGACCUCACGCUAUCAGAUGAGCCUAGGUCGGAUUAGCUAGUUGGUGGGGUAAAGGCCUACCAAGGCGACGAUCCGUAACUGGUCUGAGAGGAUGAUCAGUCACACUGGAACUGAGACACGGUCCAGACUCCUACGGGAGGCAGCAGUGGGGAAUAUUGGACAAUGGGCGAAAGCCUGAUCCAGCCAUGCCGCGUGUGUGAAGAAGGUCUUCGGAUUGUAAAGCGCUUUAAGUUGGGAGGAAGGGCAGUAAGUUAAUACCUUGCUGUUUUGACGUUACCAACAGAAUAAGCACCGGCUAACUUCGUG
rnacentral:rRNA from 1 species